rnacentral:tRNA from 1 species
AGCCCCGUAGUGAUUAACACAUCAAAUUGCAAAUUUGAAAGAGUUCCUUNUAUUGGUUCCGGGGCUU